rnacentral:lncRNA from 1 species
GAUUCCUCAGACCUUUUGGAAACUGUACAUUCCGGGGGAAAGUCUGUGCAAGGGCAAAAGGCGACGGUGGACUUGACAAAGGGCUGAGGGGUGGGUGAGAUGUUAUGUCAAGAAAUGAUUUUGGAAAAUUUCUUCAUAUGUGUUGAAUAACUAAGAUAAGAUAGGAGUCUUGAACAAGGCAAAAGCAUAGGCUCUCCAAGACGAUUGACCAGAAGGAGAGAAGGAAGGCUCUAUAUCCUUAGCACGUCAAACACUCCUUUGCACAUUAGAGAAAUUGUCGAGUUAUUCCUGCUUCUUCUUCUUCUUCCUUUUUUUUUUUUUUAUUUAUAAUAGUCCAGUAUUAUUAUAGAAAGGUGCUCGAGCCAAAAUUAGAGACUAGCUAGCAUAAAAGAAAAACAUAGGACAAUAUAUACAAGACAGGGGAGGAAGUAAUAACAUAACAUAAUAUAUAUAUAUAUAUAUAUAUAUAUAUAUAUAUAUAUAUAUAUAUAUAUAUAUAUUAAAAAAAACUUGAGUUAACGCAUCAACUCAACGACCCGAAUCAUGAGAUCAGGAUAAGCAAACUCAAUAUUAAAAGAUGAAAUUUAAAAAAAAAACCUUAAAAACAUAUAUGGUUUAACAAUAUUAAUUAAUUAUUAAAAUCUUUCAUUUUAUAUAUAUUAAAAAUAAAUAUUAAUAACUAUUAUAUCAAUUUGUGAAUGUUUCAAUUUGAAUGCGAACAAAUGUUUUAUAUAUGACAUUUUUCUUAAGAAUGUCUCUUUCAUUAAAACCAAAAUUAUUUAACAUGAUUAGAUUUAAUACCCUGAGAGUUUAGGUCAUAGAUUGGCCUAAUACUCGGAUAAGAUUGAGAUCAUAUAUCAGACAAGUUAGCUUAUGUUGAAUGGUGUUAAUCUAAAAUUGUAUUAUUUUAAGAUUUUUUUUAGAAAAAAUCAAAAUUGCGUAGUUAAAAAAAAUAAAACUAGUUUUUGACUGAAUUAACUAGGUUGUGGGUUGAUUUAUUUAGUCGAUUAGGCUUGGUUGGGUCAGCUCUCACUUAGUUUUUUCUAAACCUGAAUUGGGUUAGGUUCCAGAUUAAAAUGUUAGGCUUGAAUUAAAUUUAAUAAUGCUGAUUAAAACCACAUUGUAGAAAAAAAAUUAAAUUGCAUAAAAGUAAUUAACCGAAAACUUGUAUUCCUUCUUGUAAAGCUGAACCCGUGUCAGUUUUAUUGAAGGAAAACUAUGAACCAAAGGUUAAUGCUACUUUCAUGACGAGAAGACUUGCUACUUUCUUUAUGGAAAUAACGUGUGGAAAAUCAUGCCUUAAUUUUGAUGGCGAUGGUAAAAUCAAAGAGUAUCGUUGAUAAUUAAAUGCUUAUGCAUAAAAAAUAAAUCUCAAGUGUUAGAAUGCAACCACUGAUUAAUUAAUGGACAACGGACCUUGGAUUAAUACAUGACGCAACUUUCAAUGGAAUUAUAUUUGUGGAGGUAUUUACUCGGAUGUGAAUUAUAUUUUUAUUUUUUUAUUUUAAAAAAAAUUCUAUAUACUACAACUAGCUUAAGAAAGUCAAAAAAAUUUAAGUGAAAAAAAAUAUAUAUAUAUUUAUAUACACUCACGCACACACAAAAAUAUAGUCAAAUAAAUCAAGAACUAUGUGUGUUAAUAAGUGGAAAAAAAAACCUUAAACGAUAACUCAAAAUAAAAACUAGAAAAAUCAAGAGACAAGUGUAUAUCAAGAUAUUUAAUUUCACAUGACGUGACAUUUUUUUUUUUGGAUUCGACGAAACCUCACCCCUCCGAAAAGCACACUUUGUGGGCCCAGGUGAGGGAGUAAAACCCCGGCUGUCCCAGGCUCUUACAAAAGGUGCACGCCCUGACUCGAACUCGAGACCUGCUGUGCAGAUCUCAAACCCUUUGCCAUCACGCUACGCCCCUUGGGGACAACGUGACAUUUACGCAGUAUUGUUUUCUAAAUUUUCUAAUUAAAAUAAUUUUUUAUUUGAUCAAACGAUAAUAUAAACAGACACACACAUUCUAAAUUGAUUGAAUAAAAAAAAAAUAUAUGCAAAGCUGUAUAUAUUAAAAAUAUUAUUUGAAAAUAAUUUGUUUUUCAAAAAUAAAGUUCAUCUAUGUAAAAGAUUUUAAAAAAAUAUAGAUUAAUCAAAAAAACCUCUUUAAAAAUUAAAUUCAUGAUUAAAAAAUAAUCAUCAUUUCAAAUAGGCUUUUUAAAUAACUAAAAAGAGAGAAGGGAUAUUAAUAUAAAUAUAAAUAUAACUAAAAUUAAGAUUAUUUUAAAAAAAUAGAUAAAAAAAAUUUUAAGCGAAAAAAAGUGAACAGACACGGUGAACUUAACUCAUAAACUCAACUGAAUUUAAUAUUUUUUUCGUUAAAUUUAUUAUAAAUAUAAAAAAAAACAAAAUUAAUAUCAUUCACGGUAAAACAUAAAUAAAAAACAGUACAACCGCAUAGUAUUCACCUCAGGCAUUUUCUUUUAAAUUUAUAGCCAAACCUUAAAAAUAAACUUUUGUGCUCAGUAUCUUUUUAAGGUGAAUUAACAAGUUUCAACUCAUCUCUGUAUCUUCUCUAGAUACAGAGAAUUCCUAUUUAACAUUAAUCUGUCCAUCAAGUUUUUGAUUCCCAAUUAAGACCAUCUUGAUAAAUGAGAAUUUACUCCGUAAUUUUAUUGUAUAGCUGUCAAUGACCUGAAACAUGCAAAUUAAAAUUCAAAGUGUGAGCAUUCAAUUUCUUGUCAGUUUACACCUUUCUGUGGUGUUCCCUCUUUCCAUUGAUUGAAGAGCGUCUAAGAGGAAAAACUGAAAAGGCAAAAGUUAUGUUGUACAGUGAAAAAGAGCAUGAUCAGAAAUACACAAAAACAGAGAUGAAUGAAUCCUUCUCCACUAGCGCUCUCGUCCAUCGGAUCAUUGUGGUUUCAAGACCGAUGCCCAAUCAUUGCCCUCUUUGUUCGAUUCCUCAGACCUUUUGGAAACUGUACAUUCCGGGGGAAAGUCUGUGCAAGGGCAAAAGGGGACGGUGGACUUGACAAAGGGCUGAGGGGUGGGUGAGAUGUUAUGUCAAGAAAUGAUUUUGGAAAAUUUCUUCAUAUGUGUUGAAUAACUAAGAUAAGAUAGGAGUCUUGAACAAGGCAAGAACAUAGGCUCUCCAAGACAAUUGACCAGAAGGAGAGAAGGAAGGCUCUAUAUCCUUAGCACGUCAAACACUCCUUUGCACAUUAGGGAAAUUGUCGAGUUAUUUCUGCUUCUGCUUCUGCUUCUUCUUCUUUUUAUAAUAGUCGAGUAUUAUUAUAGAAAGGUGCUAGAGCCAAAAUUAGAGGCUAGCUAGCAUAAAAGAAAAACAAUGAUUAAUUGCAAGAGAUGGUUACUUAUACCAGUAGCAAUUUAGUAAUGAUUAAUUAGCAUUUAUAUUAAGAUGUGGCUAUUAAUUCAAAUGUUAACAAUGAUUUUCUUGGAAGGAUGAUUGCCUCUUGGUUACUUUAAAAUAUACGGUUUUUUUAGUUCAAAUCUAUUAAUAAAAAUAUAGUUUUAUUGAAUUUUUUUAUAUACUUUUAUUAGAGAAAUUAAUUUAAACACAUUUAUAUACAGACACUAGUUUAUCAAGUACUUCAAUAGAAAAAUAAAAUCAAUUAGAGUACUUAAAUAAAAAAAAAUAUAAAUUAUAAGCAUUUUACAUAUCUUUAUUGUUUAUAAAUUAAAAAUAAAAUAAUAUCAAUCCAGACUAAUCUAAAAAAAAAUUAACUAUGACAUCAUCAUUCUAAUAAUAAAACUAAUAAAGAUGUUUUAUUGAUUAAAUUUCGUGAUACAGGGUUGAAACAAAAAAGAGAUGAAGAGAGAGGAGGGAAUGGAAAGAAGGGAAAAAAGAACUCAUGCGAUCUGUUGUUUGUAAGUUUUUUACAUAAUAUAUAGGAAGGUAUUUUAAUUAUUUUGUUCAAAUUAAAAAUUUUCAUUGACUAAAAAGCGUAAUUAUCUAAAACAUAAAAGCAAAGUAAAAAACUCAAAUGCUUCAUUAAAAAACUCAAUUGAUUCGGUGCUUUAUUAGUUUCUAUAGUAUGGUGUCUUAUGCAUUUUGUUCUAAUCAUAUAUGGGAAAGUGUUUGGUUGAUUAACGUAUAUCAUGACUUUGUAUGGGUCCUACCACAAACUCUCUCUUUUGAAAUAUUAAUUAAGAAAAAGCUAUAAUUUAUAGUUUUUUUAAAUUUAUUUUUUCAAAUUACAAUCAUAUAAACUACUAUAAUAUCAAAUACAUAUUUGAAUAAGACUCAGUAAAAAUUUUCUUCUUCUAAAUACAAAGUGGAAAUGAGUUACUUUCUCCAAAAAGAAUAUAUACAAUAUUAUCGAUUAUCUAAUGCAAACUCCGUCUAACAUACACAGAGAAAGAGAGAGAACCUUAACUAUGUUUAUUUUAUGCACUUUAAUUAAAAAUAAAUUUUGGAUUGUACGAGAGACUUUAAUUAAAUUUCAAUAUUAAAUUUAUGCACUUUAAUUAACAUACACAGAUCAACUAUUAAUAUAUCAAGACUUUUAACUCAAAUUCAUUAUUUAAACAAACCAUAACUUAAAAUUAUUAUCUUUAUCUAAAAUCUUUAAAAAUCAAUGAAAUAACUCAUUAUUCAUAAUAAUUAACCUGCUAAGUUAUUUCUGCUUCUUCCUUUUUAUAAUAGUCGAGAAUUAUAUAUUAUAGAAAGGUGCUAGAGUUAAAAUUAGAGGCUAGCUAGCAUAAAAGAAAAACAGAGGUAUAUACAAGACAGGGGAGGAAGUGUGCGUGCGUGCGUGUGUGUGUGUGUGUGUGUGAUCCCUUCUCAAGCUUAAAAGUAAAGCAUGAUUUUCUAGACGUGAUUUCCAUAAAGAUAGAAGGGAGGGCUCUGUAUCCAUCAUCUUCAAGGAAAGUGAGCUGGCCAUCGUCAACCAUUUAUUUAUGUUUUCAACCAUUUAUUUAUGUUUUUCCACAAAAGACUUUGACUUGGGGUCAACUUGUCGGUUAAUUACUUUUAUGCAAUUCAAUUUUUUAAAAAUAUAUAUAUAUAUGCUUUAAUUUCAACUUAAGUUAUAUACGGGACGAUAAAAAAAUAACAAUAAAAUCAAUUUAUAAAAAAAAUCAUAGAUUUAGUUUUCCUAAAUUUUAAAUGUAGUGUGAAAGCAUUCCGCAAGAAAAAAACAGUGCAAAAUUAGCCAUGACAAUAAGUCUUUUUCUUUCUAAAGAGUUUAUUUUUUGUAACACAAUCAAUAAGUAAGAUGGAUGGGAAUUUGCAGUGUGAGAUGGGUUUGUGAGACUAUAUAUUGCCAUCAGCAUUUUUUCCAUGAUAUAGGCUUGUAGGAUGGUCCAUGAGACCAUUGCUAUAUAUCAAGCGUUUUUUCUACGAGAUGGGUCCAUGAGACCAUUACCUCGUAAGCUUGGGAAUGGAUAACAUGAUUUAAUGUUUAUUUAGUUUAAAAAAAAAUUAAAUGCUUAUGCAUAAAAAAUAAAUCUCAAGUGUUAGAAUGCAACCACUGAUUAAUUAAUGGAUAAUGAACCUUGGAUUAAUACAUGACGCAACUUUCAAUGGAAUUAUAUUUGUGGAGGUAUUUACUCGGAUGUGAAUUAUAUAUAUAUAUAUAUAUAUAUAUAUAUAUAUAUAUAUAUAUAUAUAUAUAUAUAGGGGCACACACAAAUAUAGUCAAAUAAAUCAAGAAUUAUAUGUGUUAAUAAGUGAAAAAAAAAAUAUUAAACUAUAACUCAAAAUAAAAACUAGAAAAACCAAGAGACAAAUGUAUAUAAAGAUAUUUAAUUUCACAAGACGUGAUAUUUACGCAGUAUUGUUUUCUAAAUUUUCUAAUUAAAAUAAUUUUUUAUUCGAUCAAACGAUAAUAAAAAUAGACACAUACAUUAUAAAUUGAUUGAAUAAAAUAAAAGGAGAAAAAAUAAUAUGCAAGGCUGUACAUAUUAGAAAUAUUAUUUGAAAAUAAAUUUCUUUUUAUUUUCAAAAAUAAAGUUCAUCCAUGUAAAAUAUUUUUAAAAAAUAUAGAUUAAUCAAAAAAAUCUCUUUAAAAAUUAAAUGCAUGAUUAAAAAAUAAUCAUCAUUUUAAAUAGGCUUUUUAAAUAACUAAAAAGAGAGAAGGGAUAUUAAUAUAAACAUAAAUAUAACUAAAAUUAAGAUUAUUUAAAAAAAAUAGAUAAAAAAAUUUUAAGCAAAAAAAAGUGAACAGACAACUUAUAAACUCAACUGGAUUUAAUAUUUUUCCUGUUAAAUUUAUUAUAAAUAUAAAAAAACAAAAUUAAUAUCAUUCAUGGUAAAACAUAAAUAAAUAAAUAAAUAAAACAGUACAACCGCAUGUUAUUCACCUCAGGCAUUUUCUUUUAAAUUUAUAGCCGAACCUUAAAAACAAACUUUUGUGCUCUGUAUGUUUUUAAGGUGAAUUAACAAUUUUCAACUCAACUCGGUACCUUCUCUAGAUAGAUCUGUGACUAUGCCUUGGAUUUUCUCAAAACUACUAAGUGUGUGCUUGAGAGGGUGAUUAUAGUUGUUUUUUAAAGUGUUUUUCACUCAGAAAAACAUGUCAAUAAUAUUUUUUUAUAUUUUAAAAUUUAUUUUCGAAAUCAGCACAUCAAAAUGAUUUAAAAACAUCAAAAAUAUAUUAAUUUAAAGUAAAAAAAAAAUUCAAAUUUUUGCGGAAGUGCUUUUGAAAAGCACUCCCAAACACUCCCAUGGUUGGAUACCAAGUAAAUAGAGAUAAAUUUAUUUCCUGUUAUUCUCCGAUAGUAUCUUCGUCCCUUGAUAGAACUUUCUUGGAGAUGAUGAGCUACCACUCCCUUUUGACUUUGCUGGCCUCCCAAAUAUAAAUAAAGAAUUCCUCUUGAUAGAAUUUUCUUCGAAAUGAUGAGAAUAUUUUAGAAUAUUCUGGUUGACGCCAGCUGUCAACAACUAUCUUACAUUCCCAACGCAUGCCUUUGCAAGAUGUUAAAGGCUCAUCUAAAAACAAUUAACUCUGAUAUCGUUAUUUUAUAACAAAUUAGCAAAGAUAAUUUAUUAAUCACUAAGUUUUCUGGUUAUAAAUACAUUUGUAAUUGUCUUUAUCUCUUUUGUAUUUCUAACAAUUAACGAAUUGAAUAUAUAAUAAAUACCGACUGAAAGAAUAAAUUUAGUUUAAAUGUGCUAAAGUUUAAAUAGGCGACUUUAGAAUCACCAAGAAGGCAGUGAAUCACACGGGAAGAUUGAAAGAAUAAUUAAAGUGAUUUUACUAACAUUGUAAAAGUAAUUAACCGAAAAGUUGACCCCAAGUCAAAGUCUUCUGUGGAAAAACAUGAAUAAAAGGUUGACGCUGGGCAGCUCACUUUCCAUGAAGAUGAUGGAUACAGAGCCCCCCCUUCUAUCUUCAUGGAAAUCACGUCUAGAAAAUCAAACAUUAUUAUUGCCAUCUGCGUUUUUUCUUAGAGAUGGGUCCGUUCCACCAUUUCCCCUCAAGCUUGAGAUAUAUAUACGUGACACGAUUUAAUUUCAAAUCUUAAUGUAGUGUGUUAGAAUGCAACCACCGAUUGAUUAAAUUUAAUGGCUGGUCAUUUAAACUUGGGUGUUUUUUCGGUAUUAAUAUAUAUAUAUAUAUAUAUAUAUUCCUCAAUUAUCAUAAAAAAUUAAGAAAAAACUAAUAAUAAGAUUAAAAAUAAAUGUUUUAUUUAUCGAAAUAAUUAAAAGUAAGGUUUACUUAAGGUAUAUAUGGGAUGGUAAAAAAAUAACAAUAAAAUCAAUUUAUAAAAAAAAAUCAUAGAUUUAGUUUUCCUAAAUUUUAAAUGUAGUGUUUAUAAUUAAUUAAUUAAUUGAGAAUUUGAGCUCUUCUAAAAGUUGUUUAUGGACUUUUGUUUUCCGGAGAAAACUCCCUUAAAACCUUUGAGCACUUCCUUCUCUAAAAUAUAUGUUUUUGCCAUAACUCAGGGGCUCUGUAUCUUUUAAGGUGAAUUAGGCUUUAUAUCUUUUUAAGGUGAAUUAACAAGUUUCAACUCAUCUCUGUAGAUACAUAGAAUUCCUAUUUAACAUUAAUCUGUCCAUCAAGUUUUUGAUCCCCAAUUAAGACCAUCUUGAUAAAUGAGAUUUUACUCUGUAAUUUUAAUGUAUAGCUGUCAAUGACCUGAAACAUGCAAAUCAAAAUUCAAAGUGUGAGCAUUGAAUUUCUUGUCCGUUUACACCUUUCUGUGGCGUUUCCUCUUUCCAUUGAUUGAAGAGCGUCUAAGAGGAAAAACUGAAAAGGCAAUCACUAGCGGCCCUCGUCCAUCGGAUCAUUGUGGUUUCAAGAUUGAUGCCCAAUCAUUGCCCUCUUUGUUCGAUUCCUCAGACCUUUAGGAAACUGUAUAUGAGAUGUUACAGAGUGACGGAGGACUUGACAAAGGGCUGAGGGGUGGGUGAGAUGUUAUGUCAAGAAAUGAUUUUGGAAAAUUUCUUCAUAUUUGUUGAAUAACUAAGAUAGGAGUCUUGAACAAGGCAAGAACAUAGGCUCUCCAAGACGAUUGACAGAAGGAGAGAAGGAAAGCUCUAUAUCCUUAGCACGUCAAACACUCCUUUGCACAUUAGAGAAAUUGUCGAGUUAUUUCUGCUUCUGCUUCUGCUUCUGCUUCUUCUUCUU